CAGUUUAUUCUCAGUUCAGCUUGUGGUCACAACCGAGGUCACUGUAAGUUGAGCUGCUCUCCAUUCACAUUUCUCUCCAGGAAGUGAUCACAGUUUUUACCACUAACUUUGAUCUUAUUGAUCAGACACCAGGAGGUUUCUAGCUGGUUUUGUCUUGUUGUUUCGUUUACUGUGGGCUGAAACCUUAAUUCUUGAAGUAUUGUGGCCUGUGGUCCAGACCAAUGGUUGCUCUUCCCAUAUGGGAUAUUGGCCAACAUGGGGCCAAAGUACACACACACACACACACACACACACAGAUGAAGGGGAGGAGGGUAAAAAGGAGAGGGAAGAUGCUUUGUCAUUUUCUCAACUGAGGGAGAAACUGAUGCAACUCAGUCACAAGCGGAGGCAAGGUGACUGAUGCAACCACGCUGUCAUAAUCUUUGACCAGCAACAUCCUGUAUGGUCAAAGGUCACAGCUACACACAUGGACACACAACCGCACAUAGAUUUGGAAAUAUCAUCGUCACUCAAAUACCAGGUAAAAUAAUUUCACAGUAUGCACAGUAGCAUGACACAAAGGAACUUAUUCACUGAUGUGUUAAAUACAAGGAACAUGAGUCUGUCUAAGGAAAUAACACUGAACGUGAUAGAAACCACAUUUAUUAUCAAUCACUGACACCCAGGCAUGACUGGUGUAAAAAAUAAACUAGUAAAGCUGUGAGGGCGCUGAUGUUAAAUGUUUUAUAUACAUAGCACUUUCCAAAUCAAAGAGAUAACAGCUUUUAACAAAACAGGCAAUAAAAUCAAGGAAGGACAAAAGGGGAGAUAGAGGAUUACUGUGUAAGAAGGAAGGAAAAUCCAAACAGCUGUAAAAAUCUAUAAAACAAUUGGACAUAUCAAAGCAAGGGAUUAUAUUACAGAGAGUAUAAACGAGGUAUAAAAAAGUCAUCAGUAAUUUUCACAGAUAGAAAAGUGGUGCUAUGGGGCUGUGUUUGUAUUUCUGACACUUUUAAUGUGGGUUUAUGAAAAUAGGUGCAGAAUUGAUGAGUCUGACUCAUUUUUUUAAACCAGUUGUUAAAACAGAAAAAAUAAGUUAACAAGUCCCUAUCCACAGAAUAUGAUGCAACACUGGCUUCUGAGCUCUUGUUUGCUUUGGCGGUGAAGCUGUUAUGAGCUCUGUGGCUGUUUGGCAACUUUGACAUUUUUCUGUUGCUGCUUCACAUUAAAAUUCAUUCACCAGCAAACCACUGUUGAGCUUAUAAUAUUGACAAUUGUCAGUAGAUCAGUUUUUGAGGACGGUGGAAGAAGAAGCAGCAGCAAGGCCGUCCUGGUGGUCACUCGUCUGAGUUAAAGGGGCUUUUUUGUGCGUUUCCUCUGCCACUGAAAAUGGUCUCUUGUUGGGUGGUCAUGCCAAGAGCUUCAGCCAUUAUUGCGUUUACAGCACAAGAGGUUAAGAGACUGCAGCGCUAAUCUGCAAGCUACGGAUUAGCUACUAGCUACUGAGUCACUAUCGGAUAGUGGCGAGACAGGCCGGGGCUAGCUGGUUAGCAUGCUGACCUCAGUAGAAGAAACAAAGUGACAGAACUAGAAACAAAACACCUACAUUGCUGUCCAUUGCUGGAGACAGCUCUUGGCGGUUAAAGGAAUGAAGUAAAGAAGAAAAAAAAACCAUUAAGAUCAUUUCGAUAACAGCUAUGAGGGAUCAGCCGUGGGGGAAGGACAGAUGCUUUCUGCAGAUUGAGCAAACUUAAAAUAUGUCAUGAAGAUAAGCAUCUGUUACUAAAAGUAUGGGUGUUGUUAGGGUUGGGUUUAACACCGGUGCUGUUCUGCUCUGACUGCGGCCGUCUGUGGGAUCGCACGGUGUCAGUAUCCAAAGUAUGUCAUACUGAAACUCUGUCACAUCAAAGUGAACUUUUCAAGGGUGUAAAUCGAAGCAAAAAACAGUGUUCUGCCCCAGUGCUCAUAACAAAUUCACAGGUAUAGAUGUUCAAGAGCAGGAGGAAUGUGUGUCUUGACAGACUUGUACAGUUAGAUUUAGAGACAGUGUCUUUAGCCAUAUAAUGAAGACAGCAUGUGUGUUGUGGAGAAUAUGGAUGGACAGAAGAUGUGGAUUAAACUUCAGAGGUGGUGUGAGAAGUUUCUCUACACGUUUAAAAGACUGUGAAACCUGCUCCUUUACUUCUAGAUUUUCUUCUCUGUGAAAGAUGAAACUGCUGACUUUUUACAGCCACUGGGUGGAGUAUCACUUUAAGCUUAAUUCAUUAUAAAUCCAUCCAGCUGAAUCAAUAACUGUGGGAACCCCUGUAACCUGCCAACAAUACAAACAAUAUUGCUAGACUUUGCAAACGACUGAAUGUCUGCAGAAACCCUUCAGGAACCUUUUUGCAAGACAGGCAGUUUCGAUGUACAAAUUUAACCACAUUCGACAGAUGGAUCAUGAGAAGUCAAAGUCAAAGACACUGAAAUAGUGUGGGCAGACUGCAUCAAUGACCAUUUCAAGGAAAACAUUAUCCAAGCAGGGCGAGGAUUUCACAUGAGUAAUGGUAUCUGUGUGGGUGGGGAAGGAAAUAAAACUGCAGAAAGAGGAAGAAGAUAGAUCAAAACCAGGAGGGGGGAAAUGUGGUAUCCGCGACUCUCGAUUUCUCAAUUUGUAUAUGAGUUGAAUCAGAUAUUUCUCACAGAGUUUUGGGAAAGCUUCAGUAACAUCUGUUGGAUGACUCUGUAAUGACGGAAUUUAUGACAUUAAUAAAUAAUCCCAUAAAAUGUGUGAUAUUUCUGUCAAAAUAUGCAAUAAAUGUUUUAUUCUUGCCUUCUUUCAACUUAUCCUCUCUGGAGCCUGGAGUCGCUCGACAAUUCUGAUGAUUUGGACGAAACACCAAUGCGGUGUGUCACUGUCGUACAGCGUGUGUGUUGUUUGUAGUUGUGUUUUAGAGGGAACCGGGUCCAAGCACCACCAGAACUGUACAGCGGGCCGAAUGUGGCUGAUGUGGAAACACAUUUUACUGCAGAGUGUGUUGGACUUCGGAGGUUCAUGUUAUCCUCCUGUACCCCACAAAGACACCCACACCAACCAGAAGGGUUUGCUAGCGAAGUGACAAAGACAUAAUCCCGCACUGACUUCCCACCCAUGAACAUUUCUGUUUGUGUGUGACCAACCAGACCACACCUGAUGAUUUCACAGAUUCUCAAAGUUUUUAACUGUGUGCACAUCUGCACAUCCUCAGGAUUUAAUGUAACGACUCCACCUCAGAUUAAAGAGCUGAUGUCAGACUGCCAUCUCACUAUUUGUGCAUUAUUUGCUUUUUAGGGGUAAUUUGUUGUUGUUAAUGUUUUUUUUUUUUCCUUCAUCUGAGUUAAAAAUUUGCUUUACUUGGCACAAAAUUAGGAAGUUUGCCUAGAUGUGAAGCAUGAAGAAGAUGCACGCUGACAGCCACCAAAAGAGUAACAAGAUGCUUGAUAACUUUUCUUCCAACGGCUUCAGUAUUCUGUUGAUUUCCUGAGGAAGUUAUUUUCUCUUUACCUUGGAUCGACAUUCAAAAACACUUGUUAGAAAUGCGUUCGUAUCUCGUAAGAAUCGACUUUAACUCUAGUCUUAAAGACUAAAGACUCUAAGAUAGGAAAUGGAAAGUCCAGCAAUUCAGUAUAUUUCCUCUGCCCUGCCUUUCCUUCCAGAGAAAUUACCAAGAAUUCAGUCCAAUUCAGGAGAAGCUUAUGCAGCUUUAUAGUAGGUGGAAGGUGUGUCUAUACCGGUGCCUUUGUGUGUUUUGUUUUGUGAUGCGUUCUUCCUGUUUGGGCAUGUGUGGUUUUUCCACACUGGUCCCUAAUUUCUUUUUCGUGAGAAUUUUUUAGGGAAAACAUGGACUCAAUUCAUCAACAGGCUGGAAACAUUAGCAGGUGGAUCCAUGACAGAGACUAUGACCAUGUUUUCCACUUCUGAAGCAACAGCUGCCCACACCGUGUUUUAAUGCCAAGCUCUGGCAGAGCGCAGUGUAAAGGUGAUGUUUGGAUGUAACACUUUCAUUUCCUGCCUGUAAAAUUAUCAAGAACUUCAGGAUCAGGAUUUCACCACAAGUCUGGAUGUAGUGGGAUGGCAUCACGCUGUAUUCCCCAGAAACACUCUGAGUGACAUGUUACUUCUCGCUCAGGAACUGUGCCAUCAGUUUCCUGCGGAAGUCUGGCUGCUGAACAAACGCUCGAGUGUUUGUGGUGAGCGGAGUUUGACGUUUGAGGUUGUGCAGGAUCCUGCUUCCUGCACCUUGUGUGUUUUGUGCUGCUAUGAUUGUCUUUAUUCCUCAGUGACGUACCAGCCAUUAUUCCCAGUGUGAAGUCUAUCAGGUUUAUUGACCCUGUUGUUAGUUAUCUGGCCUCGCUGCAGCUCUCUCCCUGGGUGUUUUUGACUUCCUGUGAACUGACCAGUUUCUCAUUAAAGACUUUUAAUUUUGGAA